rnacentral:rRNA from 1 species
UCCUACGGGAGGCAGCAGUGGGGAAUUUUCCGCAAUGGGCGAAAGCCUGACGGAGCAAUACCGCGUGAGGGAAGACGGCCUAUGGGUUGUAAACCUCUUUUUUCAGGGAGGAAUUUUGACGUGUACCUGAAGAAUAAGCAUCGGCUAACUCCGUGCCAGCAGCCGCGGUAAGACGGAGGAUGCAAGUGUUAUCCGGAAUCACUGGGCGUAAAGCGUCUGUAGGUGGUUUAAUAAGUCAACUGUUAAAUCUUGAGGCUCAACUUCAAAAUCGCAGUCGAAACUGUUUGACUAGAGUAUAGUAGGGGUAAAGGGAAUUUCCAGUGGAGCGGUGAAAUGCGUAGAUAUUGGAAAGAACACCGAUGGCGAAGGCACUUUACUGGGCUAUUACUGACACUCAGAGACGAAAGCUAGGGUAGCAAAUGGGAUUAGAUACCCCAGUAGUCCUAGCCGUAAACAAUGGAUACUAGAUGUUGAACAGAUCGACCUGUGCAGUAUCAAAGCUAACGCGUUAAGUAUCCCGCCUGGGAAGUAUGCUCGCAAGAGUGAAACUCA